ensembl:lncRNA
GCACUGCUCAUCUGAAGAGUUUUUAAAACUAGGUGAUUUGAGUGUGUCCUGGUUCCAGAGCGCCCUCUUGGGGAGUGGAUAGUAGAUUGGGAGAUCUCAGAGAAUAUAUACUUUAGGGAUAAAAGAGGAAACAGGACAUAUGUGCAGUUACUCAGUCAACUUUUACAGGUCAUUGCAUCUAAUGGUAGUAAAACCCUAGUUCUACUACCACUGGUGUAAAAGUAGGUAGCUGGGCAGACAUGAGCAGGGUAGGAGAGGUCGCCACAAGGAAUGUCAGGUGACCAUCAGGUGAUGCUCAAGUGGUUGUUAACUGUCACUCUAAAAUAAUAAUUGGACACAGCUGGCACCAGAGAAAGGCAGGCUCCCAAUAGAUAGAAAACAUCUGAAGUGGGCGAUCAGUGGCUUCCUGAUAAGAUCUUAGGAACUGGGUAAGUGGACUCAAGCAUGUGCCCUAAAAGGCAAAGUGGUGGUGCUUAACUGGUAUAUGACCUUCUUCUAAGAACAUUCGGCUGGUGUAUUAGUCCAUUGUCAUGCUGCUAUGAAGAAAUACCCAAGACUGGGUAAUUUAUAAACAAAAGAGAUUUAAUUGACUCACAGUUCCACAUUCCUGGGGAGGCCUCAGGAAACUUACAAUCAUGCUAGAAGGGAAAGGAAACACAUCCUUCUUCACAGGGUAGCAGGAGAGAGAAGUGCUGGCAGGGGAAAGCCAGAUGCUGAUAAAAUCAUUGGAUCUCAUGAGAACUCACUAUCAUGAGAACAGGAUGGGGGUAACCACCUCCAUGAUUCAAGUACCUCCCACUGGGCCCCUCCCAUGACACAUGGGGAUUAUGGGAACUACAAUUCAAGAUGAGAUUUGGGUGGGGACACAGCCAAGCCAUAUGAACUGGUAAGGAAAAAACACCUCAAAUGAACAUGCACAAAACUUCAGUAAGCACACUGCACAUGUAGCCCCUGCUAAGUCUUGGCAGGCCACCACAUGCAGACAGCCUGCCCCAAGGAAAAAAUCAAGGGAGGAGAGACACAAACCCUGGAACCAUGCCAAUGUAUAAAACCCCAAGUGGGCCGGGCGCGGUGGCGCAAGCCUGUAAUCCCAGCACUUUGGGAGGCCGAGACGGGCGGAUCACGAGGUCAGGAGAUCGAGACCAUCCUGGCUAACACGGUGAAACCCCGUGCUCAAGCCUGUAAUCCCAGCACUUUGGGAGGCCGAGACGGGCGGAUCACGAGGUCAGGAGAUCGAGACCAUCCUGGCUAACACAGUGAAACCCCGUCUCUACUAAAAAUACAAAAACUUAGCCGGGCGAGGUGGCGGGCGCCUGUAGUCCCAGCUACUCGGGAGGCUGAGGCAGGAGAAUGGCGUAAACCCGGGAGGCGGAGCUUGCAGUGAGCUGAGAUCCGGCCACUGCACUCCAGCCUGGGUGACAGAGCGAGACUCCGUCUCAAAAAAAAAAAAAAAAAAAAAAGGUCACUUGAAUUUUCAAUACACACAUUUAAGUUUAGUGUGUGUAUAUAUAUAAACAAACAUAUAUGUAAUAUUAUGUGCAUAUUUGUAGACAUAGGAUCAUCCUUUAAAUUGUCACUUCACGGUUGGUAUUCCCAAACAAUUCCAAAACUUCCAUCCAGACCAAUUUACUAUCAAAUUGUAAACAAAAAUUAUUUUAAUUACAUAAAUGCAAACAUGUUUUAAUCAUAAUAUAUAAACACGUGUGUGUGUGCACGUGUUUUAAUAAAACGAUGUGAAGGUGUGUGUUUGGGGGUUUUGUUUUGCAAAGCCCUCUUUCCUCUUCCCCUGGUGCACAUAUGGCUGGAUUUUGUCUUCAUAGGGUAAUGAUGUACAAACAAGUAAGAAACCAUUUAAGAAUAGAAUCGAUUCUUUCAGAAUGUCUGUUUCUAGCCAGACCUGACAAAUGAGGAGUGCUCAGAUCUAGGUUGCAAAAGUAAAAUUAAAUUUUUGUACUGAUUACCUGUAAUACCAUUGAAGCAGAAUAUUUUGAUGUUACUGUUUAAACAUUUCCCUGUCAGUAUGUAAAAACAUGUUUAUUACAAUCAGACGUGGCAGGUUUCUCUUCCAUCGAUUGUCUUGUUUUCUGGGCCAUAACAAAGUAGAUUAAUGAAAGAGGGGUCCUGGUAAAAGUAAGUAAAAGAGAUUCUUUAAAAAAAACAACAAACAGCUCUGUCAAGUGGUGGCAGUUCUGGAAGUCUUUGAUAAGGCAGAGAAAAAAGAUGGAGAUGCUAAGUAGUCUAACCCUUAAGACAUUUUAGUACCAGACUGUUUUGGACUUAGCUAAGGAGUUACACAAGGCCUGGGCUCAGUGGACAUUUUCGUCCCCAUCUCUAAGGUUUAACCAGGUGACCUGUUUUGUAUACUAAUAAUUUUAAAAGUUGAGUUGUUAAUAUUUUAAAAGUACAUUGACAUAAUGCAUGUGCAUUUAGAAACAUACAGUUUGGAGGUACUUUUGUUUUAGAUAAACGUCACAUAUUUUCAGCAACUUAUAAUUUUAUAAUAUUCAUAUACAAUUGCUUUAUUA